rnacentral:rRNA from 1 species
GACGUAGGGCGCGAGCGUUGUCCGGAUUUAUUGGGCGUAAAGAGCGUGUAGGCGGCUAGGUAGGUCCGUUGUGAAAACUCGAGGCUCAACCUCGAGCUGUCGAUGGAAACCAUCUGGCUAGAGUCCGGAAGAGGAGAGUGGAAUUCCUGGUGUAGCGGUGAAAUGCGCAGAUAUCAGGAAGAACACCCGUGGCGAAGGCGGCUCUCUGGUACGUGACUGACGCUGAGACGCGAAAGCGUGGGGAGCGAACAGG